GGCCCUGUAACUUAUUAAAGUUCCAAGUUGCAAACUUGGGUAAGGAAUUAUUCCCUGGGACU
rnacentral:tRNA from 1 species